ACCGGAUAUGAGCUCCUGUGCAUGCGGGGUGGAAAGUUUACUGGUGCAGGAUGGCCSCGCCUAUCAGCUUGUUGUGGGGUAAUGCCUACCAAGCGACGACGGGUAGCCGGCUGAGAGGSGACCGGCACACUGGGACUGAGACACGGCCCAGACUCCUACGGGAGGCAGCAGUGGGGAAUAUUGCACAAUGGGCGAAAGCCUGAUGCAGCGACGCCGCGUGAGGGAUGACGGCCUUCCSSUUGUAAACCUCUUUCAGCAGGGACGAAGCGAGAGUGACGGUACCUGCAGAAGAAGCACCGSCCAACUACGUGCCAGCAGCCGCGGUAAUACGUAGGGUGCGAGCGUUGUCCGGAAUUACUGGGCGUAAAGAGCUCGUAGGCGGUUUGUCGCGUCGUCCGUGAAAACUUGGGGCUCAACCCCAAGCUUGCGGGCGAUACGGGCAGACUUGAGUACUGCAGGGGAGACUGGAAUUCCUGGUGUAGCGGUGAAAUGCGCAGAUAUCAGGAGGAACACCGGUGGCGAAGGCGGGUCUCUGGGCAGUAACUGACGCUGAGGAGCGAAAGCGUGGGUAGCGAACAGGAUUAGAUACCUGGUAGUCCACGCCGUAAACGGUGGGCRCUAGGUGUGGGUUCUCCACGGGAUCCGUGCCGUAGCUAACGCAUAAGCGCCCCGCCUGGGGCC
rnacentral:rRNA from 1 species